rnacentral:rRNA from 1 species
CAGUGUGGCCAUACCACGUUGAACAUAACAGAUCUUGUCUGGUCUCUGAAACUAAGCAGGGUUAUAACUGAUUAGUACUUAGAGAAGAGAAAAAGAAAGCAAGGUUCUUAGGUGCUGUACUUU